rnacentral:rRNA from 1 species
GACGAAUGCUGGCUGCGUGCUUAACACAUGCAAGUCGAACGGUGAAAGGGAGCUUGCUCCCUGGAUCAGUGGCGAACGGGUGAGUAACACGUGGGCAACCUGCCCCUCACUCUGGGAUAACUCCGGGAAACCGGGGCUAAUACCGGAUACGACCUGGUGCGACAUCGCACCGGGUGGAAAGAACUUCGGUGAGGGAUGGGCCCGCGGCCUAUCAGCUUGUUGGUGGGGUAACGGCCCACCAAGGCGACGACGGGUAGCCGGCCUGAGAGGGCGACCGGCCACACUGGGACUGAGACACGGCCCAGACUCCUACGGGAGGCAGCAGUGGGGAAUAUUGCGCAAUGGGCGAAAGCCUGACGCAGCGACGCAGCGUGAGGGACGAAGGCCUUCGGGUUGUAAACCUCUUUCAGCGGGAACGAAGCGAAAGUGACGGUACCCGCAGAAGAAGCACCGGCUAACUACGUGCCAGCAGCCGCCGCGGUAA